AACGAACGCUGGCGGCAUGCCUAACACAUGCAAGUCGAACGAGACCUUCGGGUCUAGUGGCGCACGGGUGCGUAACGCGUGGGAACCUGCCCUUAGGUUCGGAAUAACUCCCCGAAAGGGGUGCUAAUACCGGAUAAUGUCUUCGGACCAAAGAUUUAUCGCCUUUGGAUGGGCCCGCGUUGGAUUAGCUAGUUGGUAGGGUAAAAGCCUACCAAGGCGACGAUCCAUAGCUGGUCUGAGAGGAUGAUCAGCCACACUGGGACUGAGACACGGCCCAGACUCCUACGGGAGGCAGCAGUGGGGAAUAUUGGACAAUGGGCGAAAGCCUGAUCCAGCAAUGCCGCGAGAGUGAUGAAGGCCUUAGGGUUGUAAAGCUCUUUUACCCGGGAUGAUAAUGACAGUACCGGGAGAAUAAGCUCCGGCUAACUCCGUG
rnacentral:rRNA from 1 species